GCCUGAUGCAGCGACGCCGCGUGAGGGAUGACGGCCUUCGGGUUGUAAACCUCUUUCGACAGGGACGAAGCGCAAGUGACGGUACCUGUAGAAGAAGCACCGGCCAACUACGUGCCAGCAGCCGCGGUAAUACGUAGGGUGCGAGCGUUGUCCGGAAUUACUGGGCGUAAAGAGCUUGUAGGCGGUCUGUCGCGUCUUCUGUGAAAACUCACAGCUCAACUGUGAGCUUGCAGGGGAUACGGGCAGACUAGAGUACUUCAGGGGAGACUGGAAUUCCUGGUGUAGCGGUGAAAUGCGCAGAUAUCAGGAGGAACACCGGUGGCGAAGGCGGGUCUCUGGGAAGUAACUGACGCUGAGAAGCGAAAGCGUGGGUAGCGAACAGGAUUAGAUACCCUGGUAGUCCACGCCGUAAACGGUGGGUACUAGGUGUGGGUUUCCUUCCACGGGAUCCGUGCCGUAGCUAACGCAUUAAGUACCCCGCCUGGGGAGUACGGCCGCAAGGCUAAAACUCAAAGGAAUUGACGGG
rnacentral:rRNA from 1 species